rnacentral:lncRNA from 1 species
UUGGUACAUAUAAAUUGAUCUCGCUUGUCAAACCAUGUAGCGGCAAUAAGAUUAUUUGAAUUAUAAAUAUACUUUUUGGUCAGCUCAAGUCAGUUGUAUAUUGAUUUGCCGAUCUGUAUUAAUUUUCAACUCAUCAUUUUGCCAAUCUAAUCUGACUUAAGUUGAUUCAUGAUGCACAGACGGUUAGGCACGAUGCUCAAUUCAAUCAAUUAUCGAUUUACGGUAAAACACAUCGAUUCAAAACCGAUGUAAUUUUAAAAGCACAUAUG